AUGACCUUCAUCAUCAUCUUCAUCUGGACUCUCAAAGCGUUUGCUCAAGAGUGUAGAGGACAGAUCAGCGUCACUCAGAGUCCCUCAACGACAGCAGCUCAACCAGGAGAAACAGUGAAGAUCAACUGUAGAACCAGCACAAAUGUGUAUGGUGGUAAUCGUUUAUCCUGGUACUUACAGAAAUCUGGAGAAGCUCCUAAACUCCUGAUUUAUAGGGCAAACACCCUCCAGUCAGGAACUCCAUCUAGAUUCAGUGGCAGUGGAUCUAACAGUGAUUUCACUCUGACCAUCAGUGGAGUCCAGACUGAAGAUGCUGGACAUUAUUACUGUCUGAGUUUAUACUGGCCUGAGAGCAUUCAGUGGUUCACACAGUGAUAAAGAGUCGUACAAAAACCUCGGUCAGUCAGAGUCACAGUGACUGAACUGAUGCUGCAGCUGCUCAAAGGAGGAUCUGAAACAACAUUGUCACACACGCAUCUGAAAUAAAAUCAUAUAAAUGAAUCUGUCACUCUUAAUAAUCAUAGAGGUCAGAGCGUUAGUCGAGAGAAACAACUAGACACAAGUCCAUCAGUGUCUCUGCAGAGUCUCUAUCAGACACACAAACACAGACUCAGCCGUGUUGAUCUUUGAUUAUUAUUUUGUCCUUUACUUCUCUCACACUUUGAAAUCGUGUGUUCUUAUUAUUUCCUCAUAUUCAUACUCUCUGUAGGGAGAGUAAAGAUAUAUCGGAAACUGGACUGAUUGAAUCUGCACAGCUUUGAGAUUUUGUGCUUUUAUAGAUUAGAGACACGAGUGAGAUCUGACUGAUUU